CUGUUCAGGUUUGGUACCAGUCUGGUUCUACUGCGGUUCUGUUGGGUCUCCGUUUGUUGUUCAGAUGUUCUUCUUCAGCUGUUUGGAUCAUUUGAACAAACUUUAAGGUGUGGCGCCAGUCUGGUUCUGUUGGGUCUCAGUUUGUUGAUCACAUAUUCUUGUUCAACUCUUUGGAUCGUCUGAACAAACUGUGAAGGUAGAAAGUGUGUGUGAGCUGAUGUGAAUUCAGCAGCAUGGAUCAGUG